ACGAACGCUGGCGGCGUGCUUAACACAUGCAAGUCGAACGGAAAGGCCUGCAGCUUGCUGCGGGUACCCGAGUGGCGAACGGGUGAGUAACACGUGGGUGAUCUGCCUUGCACUUCGGGAUAAGCUUGGGAAACUGGGUCUAAUACCGGAUAGGACAGCUGUUUAGUGUCAGUUGUGGAAAGUUUUUUCGGUGCAAGAUGAGCUCGCGGCCUAUCAGCUUGUUGGUGGGGUAAUGGCCUACCAAGGCGUCGACGGGUAGCCGGCCUGAGAGGGUGUACGGCCACAUUGGGACUGAGAUACGGCCCAGACUCCUACGGGAGGCAGCAGUGGGGAAUAUUGCACAAUGGGCGGAAGCCUGAUGCAGCGACGCCGCGUGGGGGAUGAAGGCCUUCGGGUUGUAAACUCCUUUCGACAGGGACGAAGCUUUUGUGACGGUACCUGUAUAAGAAGCACCGGCUAACUACGUG
rnacentral:rRNA from 1 species